rnacentral:rRNA from 1 species
GACGAACGCUGGCGGCGUGCCUAAUACAUGCAAGUCGAACGCAUUUUCUUUCAACGUAGCUUGCUACACCGAAAGAAAGUGAGUGGCGAACGGGUGAGUAACACGUGGGUAACCUGCCCAUCAGCGGGGGAUAACACUUGGAAACAGGUGCUAAUACCGCAUAAUUCCAUUUACCGCAUGGUAGAUGGAUGAAAGGCGCUUUUGCGUCACUGAUGGAUGGACCUGCGGUGCAUUAGCUAGUUGGUGGGGUAACGGCCUACCAAGGCUGCGAUGCCUAGCCGACCUGGGAGGGUGAUCGGCCAAACUGGGACUGAGACACGGCCCAGACUCCUACGGGAGGCAGCAGUAGGGAAUCUUCGGCAAUGGACGCAAGUCUGACAGAGCAACGCCGCGUGAGUGAAGAAGGUUUUCGGAUUGUAAAACUCUGUUGUUAGAGAAGAACAAGGAUGAGAGUGGAAAGUUCAUCCCUUGACGGUAUCUAACCAGAAAGCCACGGCUAACUACGUGCCAGCCGCCGCGGUAAGAC